rnacentral:rRNA from 1 species
UACGGGGGGGGCAAGCGUUGUUCGGAAUUACUGGGCGUAAAGGGCUCGUAGGCGGCCAACUAAGUCAGACGUGAAAUCCCUCGGCUUAACCGGGGAACUGCGUCUGAUACUGGAUGGCUUGAGUUUGGGAGAGGGAUGCGGAAUUCCAGGUGUAGCGGUGAAAUGCGUAGAUAUCAGGAGGAACACCUGCGGUGUAGACGGCUUACUGGACCAUAACUGACGCUGAGGCACGAAAGCGUGGGUAGCGAACAGG